rnacentral:lncRNA from 1 species
UGUCGGGACCGACUCAGCAAAGCUGUCCAUGUUGUAUACUACCAGGGGAAGCAAGCAGGAACCUUGAGGUGGAAACCUCCCACAUCCAAGAACAAAUGCCUGUCACCUUACCGCAUCCUUGCCUCUGAGAGCCAUUUCCUCUCUGUGCCUUGCCUCCUCCCUUUCUGCUUUGAGGCUCUGGAGCUUUGCCCUCAAUUUCUUCAGCAAAUCAAAACAGCAACAGACCAAUGUUUCUGC